GACGAACGCUGGCGGCGUGCUUAACACAUGCAAGUCGAACGGAGCGAAUGGAAGCUUGCUUUUAUGAGCUUAGUGGCAAACGGGUGAGUAACACGUAGACAACCUGCCGACAGGAUGGGGAUAACAUUCCGAAAGGAAUGCUAAUACCGAAUGAAGUCGAGGGAGGGCAUCCUCUCUCGAUGAAAGAUGGCCUCUUUUUAUGCUAUCACCUGUCGAUGGGUCUGCGUCUGAUUAGCUGGUUGGUGAGGUAACGGCUCACCAAGGCGACGAUCAGUAGCCGGUCUGAGAGGAUGAACGGCCACAUUGGGACUGAGACACGGCCCAGACUCCUACGGGAGGCAGCAGUGGGGAAUCUUCCGCAAUGGGCGCAAGCCUGACGGAGCAACGCCGCGUGAGUGAAGAAGGUCUUCGGAUCGUAAAGCUCUGUUGACGGGGACGAACGUGCCAAGGGGAAUAAUCCUUUGCAA
rnacentral:rRNA from 1 species